CAAGAGUGAAUGAAUGUGUGCGUGUGCACACGUAUAGGGUGUGUUUGCUUUGUGAGAACAUUAUCAACUGGACUGGACUUGGAACUGGUCUACAAUACACCAAAAUGUGGCAAUGGAUGAGGAUUGUUCCUCACACUCCACCAGUAAGAUAUCACACCCAAGACAAAAAUAAAGAGUUGACGGAAGUCACAGACUGAUGUGUUAUAUCUGGGCUGACCAUAGUGUUAAACACCUCUCAGAGGCCACAUCAUCAUUGGGGUAUAUUUCAUGACCACUCGAAGGCCAUUGGUCAUACCAGGUUUCACUGCCUCCGAUCUUAGCCAACACGUUUCCUAUAUGCAACCUCCUGUGUCUACAGGCCUAUCAAAUAUAUUCAUCCUAAUUCAAACAAGAUUAAAAUGGACUCAGUUUUUAUAAAAUUAAUUUACAAUAGUUUUAAGCUAAAAUAAUUUGAGGUAAAGUAGCGAUAUGGGGCAGUAAGGAGUUGCUACAGUGCGAGACAUAACUCUACACGAACCUCUACCCUCCCUGCACUAAGUAAUCCAGUAGUGUAAAACCUGUACUGGCAUGAACAUUAGAACACCAUAGUGAUGUCACACACCAUCAACACCAUAUAUAAAACAACAUUUUGUAUCUUAUUUUUGCUAGGAUAAGUUAGGUUAGGUUGGGUUGGGCUAAGAUAAGUUUGGUUUGGUUAGAAUGGGUUAGAUUGGGUUUGGUUAGGUUUGUUUAUAGUGGCUUCAACGUACAAACAUACAUCAUACAUAGGGGGGGGUACAUACUUUC